rnacentral:rRNA from 1 species
UACGAGUGCCCCAAGCGUUAUCCGGAAUCAUUGGGCGUAAAGGGUGUGUAGGCGGUCGCGUUAGUCUUCCGUAAAAUUCUUCGGCUUAACCGGGGUCUUGCGGGGGAAACGGCGCAACUAGAGGAUGCGAGAGGUGAAUGGAACUCAUGGUGUAGGGGUGAAAUCCGUUGAUAUCAUGGGGAACACCGAAAGCGAAAGCAAUUCACUGGCGCAUUCCUGACGCUGAAACACGAAAGCGUGGGUAGCGAACGGG